rnacentral:lncRNA from 1 species
CCCUGGGAGAUGGAGCGCCAUUCAGGCCUGUGGCUCCUACUAGAGGAGGAGACAGAAGAGGAGUUAUCUCAUCUUCCUCUUGCUACUAAGAAAGACUCAUCGACUGGGAGAGGCGACUUCAUGUACUCCUCAAACACUAACACCCACACACCUGACGAAGCCCCGGAACCCGACUCCACAACAUGCGAUACACACACCUUGGACGCACCUGGUCCAGUCAGCGCCCCCAACAUCACCGUCUCUACACCUUCAGUGCAAAGCAUUACUCCCAUGUUACCUCUGCCCCAUGCCAGCACCCCAUCCACCGCCUCUCUCUCCUUCACACCGACUUCCACAGCCACGACCCCAGACAGCGCCUCCAUCUUUUCAUACUUCUCCACCAUGUCUAGCUGCUCGCCCAGCUCUGAGGAGAACACCAGGGAUGAAAAGGAAAUAAAACUGCAAGGGGGAGGUAAGGAGGAGGCCAGCAGCAGCUCUGGGGUGGCCAUUAACAACAGCUCAACCACCUCUGACUCUGCCACGGUCACGCCUUCUGGCUCACCUCUAUCCGGACAGCUUAAACUGGCCAGGGAAAGCACUGAUAGUGAUAUUACCUUGCAGGCAGGAACUCUACAGAGCUUCCUCCCUUGUCCAGCUCCUCCACCCAUGGUACCAACUGUGGUGCUGCGGGGAACAGGUGGACAAGUUAGAGGGUCUUUCGGUGAGAUCUUGUACGAUGGCAACACAGGGGAAACCUUUGAGGACAUUAACCCUGAAUUGCCGCCCCAAAGGCCCCUCCUCCAGCAACCAAUACUGGUUCAGAGAGAGAAGGACAGAAAGCUGGAGGUGGAGAGGAGGAAGGAGAUAGAGAGGGCGGCGCUCGGAGAGGCCUGGGUUGAUACAAAGACUCCCCUGACUCUGGAGUCUCAACCCGGAAGCAGUAAAGUAAUGCCAGGCCUGGACCCAAAGGCACUCACCAACAGCUUGCCCCCUCGCCUCCUUGCCCCUUUGCAAGGCAGCUCUGUCUUCCUUCAGCUGAAGUCCCUCAAGGACUCCCAGGGUGAAGGGUUGGAGGAAGGAGGAGCCAGGGCUCUCUGGAGCUCUGUCUUCUCUGGGAACAAGAAGGAUCGGAAAAAGAAAGGCGGGAUGUCCCUUCCAGGCAAGGCAACACCUGCAGAGAGGGGGAGGAAGGAAGCUACUAAAUCGAGAAGAGCCACAGAUUCCCGGCUCAGGAGACAUUCAAAUUUGACAGAGGAAUCUGAGCUGGCCUGUUCCACCGUGCUGCAGAGGUGCUCACUCAACCCCAGA